GCUGGGAGUGGUGGUGGUCUCCUGUAAUCCCAGCUACUUGGGAGGCUGAGGCAGGAGAAUUGCUUGAAUCCAGGAGGCCGAGUUUGCAAGGAGCUGAGAUCAUGCUACUGCAUUCCAGCCUGGGUAACAGAGCAAGAUUCUGUCUCAA
rnacentral:sRNA from 1 species